UGGGACAGCUGGUGUUGUGAAUCAGGCCGCCGCAGUCCAAGGAUCGGCUACUUCCCAACACCAGGGUCUCA
rnacentral:pre_miRNA from 1 species